CCUGCAGAAGGUCAUUGUCGAGAGUCCCGGAACAAGGAGAGAUCCGUGCAAUUCGUGUGGAUGGGGACGGCCGUCGUCGCCGAGAUCUGCUUGCAUCGCGCGGCCCCUUCCUCGGGAAAGGCCCUGCGGUGGAGCAACUGUCUUUGGGCGCAGCGCUGCGCCAAGGGAGAUGGAAGCGCGCAUGGUGUUCAUCGCCAUGGGCUUGCGAGGCUCGAAUGGUGGAGCCGAACCUAAGACUCUUGGCAACGGAUAUCUUGGCUCUCGCAUCGAUGAAGAACGCAGCGAAAUGCGAUACGUGUUGUGAAUUGCAGAAUCCCGUGAACCAUCUAAUCUUUGAACGCAAGUGGCGCCCGAGGAUGCAAGCCGAGGGCACGCCUGCAUGGGGGUAUUCCGAUGCAUCGCUCCUGGCAAACGGCCCCGGUCGGACGUUUUGUGCGACCAGGCGCCUUGUUGGAGGCGAGGUGUGGCUCCUCAUGCCCCCCGGCAUGGAGGGCUCAAGUUCGGGCACAUGGCUGGUCGUUGAUGCGGCAAGAGGUGGAAUGUGCACGUGUUUUGCCGUGUGGGUGCCAUGUUGCUCCGCGCAAAUCCAAGUCCAUGCUACGUCGUCGUGUGGAUCCGUGACCCCAUGUCAGUGAG
rnacentral:rRNA from 1 species